rnacentral:piRNA from 1 species
UCAGAUUUCAUUAUAAUAGCUUGAGUGU